AUGAACAUUCAUGGCAGUAUCAUAGCCUUAAAACAAUCAGUGUAUGAUGUUUCUUUAAGAAAGUUGGGUAUGGUGUUGGUAGGUUUUUCUUUUUUGACUCUUGUUUCUCUAACCAGAGUACUCGGUGAGUCUGACCAGCUUCCUGCUCAUCUGAUGCUGGAACUACACCUCUUCUCAAUGGAUGACCUCAUCAGGCUGUGUCAGGCCAAAGGCUUUAUCUGUGAGUUCUGUCACAGGGAGGAAGUGCUUUUCCCUUUUCAGAGAGACAUCUGCACCUGCUGCCAAGAUUUUUUUAGACUGCAGAGCCUGUUUCCACAUCUACUUCUGUGAUGAAUCAUGUCCCAAAUGUGCCAGACUGGAGAAACGAAAGAAACUCCAGCAAGACAUCAAUUUAUGAAAUCUCCUACAUGUCCUUCACUGCAUUUUAAAGUGGCGUAAAGAGGUCUUGAACUGUUCUUAGUUUACUGACAUGCUUUAUGUGCUGUAAUUUUGUAAAGCAUAGAUGAAUGUAGUUUUGAUAUUGUUCGAUGUUGUACAUUGUAUUUCCAUUAAGUAACAAGCAUUACAAUGUGUGAACACAGAGACCUGCCAAACUCUAUUAUGUUCGUAUUUUGAACACAUGAUUAAUUCAUGAUAGUUUAGUCACAUUUCAUUCUGCAAUUGGUUGCAAAAUAUGGGGAUUGUUCUUGUGGACGUUUAGAAAAUAGUCUUUCCCUUAUUGAUUGAAAGUCAUGAACAUUCUCCACCACAGGAUCUUUUUAAUAGCAUUCUCUGGUCGAACUGACGUUUUAUAUUAUUUAAUAUUACAUAAAUGAAUUUGUUUUAUUUAAUAUUGUAUUUAUUGUUAUUUAAUAAUUAUAUUUGUUUUAGGAUUCAAAACUUGUUUAAGAUUUAAAGUUUGAGUCAAGGGUAAAACAAUAAAAUACGGGCAUUUAAAUAAUAAUAAUAAAAA
ensembl:lncRNA